rnacentral:rRNA from 1 species
GCGUGCGGCUGCUUUAACUGCAAGUCGAACGGCAGCGCGGGGCAACCUGGCGGCGAGUGGCGAACGGGUGAGUAAUAUAUCGGAACGUACCCAGAAGUGGGGGAUAACGUAGCGAAAGUUACGCUAAUACCGCAUACGAUCUACGGAUGAAAGUGGGGGACCUUCGGGCCUCAUGCUUUUGGAGCGGCCGAUAUCUGAUUAGCUAGUUGGUGAGGUAAAGGCUCACCAAGGCGACGAUCAGUAGCUGGUCUGAGAGGACGACCAGCCACACUGGAACUGAGACACGGUCCAGACUCCUACGGGAGGCAGCAGUGGGGAAUUUUGGACAAUGGGCGCAAGCCUGAUCCAGCAAUGCCGCGUGAGUGAAGAAGGCCUUCGGGUUGUAAAGCUCUUUUGUCAGGGAAGAAACGGCUCCGGCUAAUAUCCGGGGCUAAUGACGGUACCUGAAGAAUAAGCACCGGCUAACUACGUGCCAGCAGCCGCGGUAAUACGUAGGGUGCAAGCGUUAAUCGGAAUUACUGGGCGUAAAGCGUGCGCAGGCGGUUUUGUAAGUCUGUCGUGAAAGCCCCGGGCUCAACCUGGGAAUUGCGAUGGAGACUGCAAGGCUUGAAUCUGGCAGAGGGGGGUAGAAUUCCACGUGUAGCGGUGAAA